UAGGUGAUACUUUCAGGGAUCAUUUCUAUAUGCGUUUCUAGAGAAGUUUCUCUGACAGUGUAGAGCACCCAAAAUCAUGAGAGGAACCAGAGCAUCCUCUCCUGAGCAUGAAGCUGGUUCAAGGUGUCGCUUUUGCAACUGCUUUUUACUGUUGAUGCUCAUUCUUCUCUUCCUUUGGAAGAUGGAAAGAGAGAGGAUGCAGUCUGAGUGGU